AAGAAGGACAUGUUUGCUUCCCUUUCCACCAUAUUGAGAGAAGACUGUUCUCUGGUCAAGUUUGUGCUUCUGGGAACAUCUCAUCAAACGUCCUGCCAGCGGGCUUAGUACUGGAAUUUGAAUAUGGGCUUCUCUUUUCAUCAACCAGCUGUGUUGCUGUCAGCUUUUAUCUCGGGCUGGACACUUUGGAGUGUUUAACUGAAAGUGAUGAAAGUAUAGCUCAAUACGAGUCAGAGUCAAGAACUUCCUGGAAGCAUAAUUUAGGAUCUAAAUAGAAGAACAUAAUGGAGAGAAGGGCAGUGUUUGUCCUAUUCCAAAAAGAGAGACAGGAAAAUAAAAUCAAGCCCUGUCGUUUCAAUCAUAUGUUUGAUAUUGGCGGCACCAGGGGAGCCAGAAGAGCAGAAGAGGUGACAGCUGACCAGAAAGAGACUGGCUCUGCAGCCUGGGCAACCUGUCAUGGAAAGGUACUGCAGCUGCAGGCCUCAGAGCUGUCCAGAAUUACUCUCAUGAACAUGUUUGGGAAAGAAGUUAUGAAGUAGAGGCAAGAGUGUGUUACAGAACUGCUUAAUCCCAUUGCCUGAGCCUUCCAGCCUGGAGAUUAUCCAUCAUGUGACUAAGAAUGAGAUGACACCUGUACAGAUACACGAUUUGCCUCUCAGCUGUUUAGCUGUUUCUAUAAGAAGCCUGAGCCGUUAAGGUACUCUCAGGGCAGGAAUGACCUAGAAGAGAUGGAAUAUAAGCUCAAGACAAUAAGAUGGGGGCCUGGUCAAACACCCUUCCUUAUGUGAACUAGGAAUCUUGGUUAUAGCCCAUGUUUUUCCUUCUUCUCCAAACCCAGGUGAUGAUUUUGGUUUAAGAGCCUCAUCUAUGAGAAAUUCCAUAUCAAAAUUAUUGCAGGGAGAAUAGACCUCUUCCAUUAUCUAGAACAAAAGUUAGUAUUUUCCCCUAUGUCUUCUCUUUUCUUUCUUCUGUACUUCCUAUUACUUUUGGUGCUGUAGAAAAAUUUCUCUGUCCAAAAAGACGUGAAAUAUUUCAGACAUAUUUUACCAAGGGUGUGUGUAGCACACAUCAACUUGCUUGAGCUUCUCUGAUAUAUAGCCAAUGUUUUAAUGUUCCCAUUUAGCCAAUCCAUAAUACAUCUUCACAGUGUUGGCCUAAUCACAAAUGACAAGGGUGGAAAAUGUAAUAAAGACAGGGGCACAUUAA
ensembl:lncRNA LINC01822 long intergenic non-protein coding RNA 1822